rnacentral:ncRNA from 1 species
CACCAGUAUGAAUCUGUAGGUCUGGUAAAUUUGAUCUGCCAGACAGGGAACGGGGUUUAAAACCCGGCUGUGCCCGCAACUGUGACGGAGGAGUGCUUCUCUACAGCACCACUGAACUUAACCGGUUUGGGAAGGUGGAGAAGUCACGAUGACACCGGAGCCAGGAGACCUGCCUUAUGUAAUGCAACCAA